GCUGAUGCUGGCGGUGAUGCCGAUGGUGCACGCUGGAAAUGGCUUACUCCGUCAUCGUUGUCAUCAUCAUCAUCAUCAUC
rfam:Ictidomys tridecemlineatus contig092097, whole genome shotgun sequence.